rnacentral:rRNA from 1 species
GAUGAACGCUGGCGGCGUGCCUAAUACAUGCAAGUCGAGCGAACGGACGAGAAGCUUGCUUUUCUGAUGUUAGCGGCGGACGGGUGAGUAACACGUGGAUAACCUACCUAUAAGACUGGGAUAACUUCGGGAAACCGGAGCUAAUACCGGAUAAUAUUUUGAGCCGCAUGGUUCAAAAGUGAAAGACGGUCUUGCUGUCACUUAUAGAUGGAUCCGCGCUGCAUUAGCUAGUUGGUAAGGUAACGGCUUACCAAGGCCACGAUGCAUAGCCGACCUGAGAGGGUGAUCGGCCACACUGGAACUGAGACACGGUCCAGACUCCUACGGGAGGCAGCAGUAGGGAAUCUUCCGCAAUGGGGGAAAGCCUGACGGAGCAACGCCGCGUGAGUGAUGAUGGUCUUCGGAUCGUAAAACUCUGUUAUUAGGGAAAAACAUAUGUGUAAGUAACUGUGCACAUCUUGACGGUACCUAAUCAGAAAGCCACGGCUAACUACGUG